rnacentral:rRNA from 1 species
UACGUAGGGGGCUAGCGUUGUCCGGAUUUAUUGGGCGUAAAGAGCGUGUAGGCGGCCAGGUAGGUCUGCUGUGAAAACUCGAGGCUCAACCUCGAGACGUCGGCGGAAACCAUCUGGCUAGAGUCCGGAAGAGGAGAGUGGAAUUCCUGGUGUAGCGGUGAAAUGCGUAGAUAUCAGGAGGAACACCGGUGGCGAAAGCGGCUCUCUGGACCACAACUGACGCUGAGGCGCGAAAGCUAGGGGAGCAAACAGG